rnacentral:lncRNA from 1 species
AAAUGGAAUAAACACCACUUGUGCUUUCUUCAUCUUGGAGUAGAAUCACUUACUCAGUGUAAGUUACUGUUUUCUGAAUUGUUCGUAUACUAUUUGUUUCUUAAAUUCUAGAGAAUUAGUAUGGUGUGUUUGAAAUAUGUCUGUGUCUCACACCAUUACUGAUAUAUAUGAUUUACAUGCCAUUUGAUCACUUUUAUUUAUUAAAAUUAUUAUUUAUCGGUGUCUACUUAUCAGCGUCGUAUUUUAAAGUUUCAACGAAUCACAUUGAUGUGGUGAUUGGUUAAAUUCAUUGAAAUUUCAAACAAGACUAACUAAAUGGAAACUGAUGUCAUUGCUUAUGUGGAAUGAAAGUGAGGUGAGAUUGAAAUGUUUUUGUCUUUAUAAAAAGCUAUUGGCUAUUUAGUAUUGAAUAUAUUGACUGUGGAAAAUUAUGUGUAUCUUGUUGGAAUUAUUGAAGGCAUGCGAAUAUAUAAUGUAUGGAUUGUUUUGGAACUUUAUGACAGUAAUAUCCACUGAGCUGCAAUCUUAUGGUUCUAGUUCUAGCUUCUUAUAAUAUAUAUUUUUUUGUUUUUCUAGUUCUGUAAAAUGAAUAUAUAAUGUAAAGUUGUGGAUGUCUGUAUAAUGCUUAGUUUGCUACAUAAUUUUGUUUUCAUUGUUGCCUAGGUGAUGCAGAAUCUUGGCAUCAUUGUUGUUUAGUUGUUUGGUUUGCUAGAAACUAUUUGAAAUCCUUAACAGUUUGGAGGGAUAGGGAGGAUGCUAGAUUUUGAAAUCAUUGCGCUAAGCACUAUUGAGGCUCCGUCCGCAGAUAUAUAAAUGGUGGAUGACCCGAUCAAAAACCUAAUACCAGGCGACCCAGCGGAUUGUGGAGGAAGCUCUCAUACCUUCUUAGAAUUGGGAGUUGGGCUAACUCAAUCCAAUAAAACCGGCUUGUAAGAUGAGGAUUGCCGUCACUUAUAAACAUAUAUUCAGGUCAUCUUGUAACCAAUGUCAGAUGCUUUAACAGAAGCAAUUGAAAGCAAGGUGUAUGAGCAAUGUAACCAUUCAUAGGCCUAAUGGCUAAUAUUGGGUCAAGAUCAUGGGAAAAUCUAAAAAAAGUGCAACACAGAUUUAAGAGCAUGUGACUUAUGGUGACCUGACCAUGUGUUCAUCUAGCUGUACACAUGAUUAGGUAUCUUUAUGAACAUUUCAUAAAAUUAUGUUAUUUCAUAUUGAAGGUAUCCUCAACAUAAUUUGUAUACUCAAUC